rnacentral:rRNA from 1 species
GGAACAAGAAGACCCUAAGAAUUUUAAAGAUAAUAAUUUAAAUAUUACAAUUAUUAUCUUUUGGUUGGGGCAACUAAAAAAGAUUAUAAACUUUUUAUUUAAUAAAAUGAUCCAUUAUUAAUGAUAUUUUGAUAAAAAUACUCUAGGGAUAACAGCGUAAUAAUUUUUGAUAGAACAUAUAGACAAAAUAGUUUGCGACCUCGAUGUUGGAUUAGGAUGCUUUUUUAAUGAAGAUGUUAAAAAAAGAAGUUUGUUCAACUUUUAAAGUCCUACUUGAUCUGAGUUCAGACG